AGGAGCCGUAUGAGGCGGAAGCUCCACGUACGGUUUUGAAGCCGAGCCUUUCCAGCGUUAAGUUCGACAACGGCUCGAGCUUUU
rfam:Punica granatum cultivar Dabenzi C5221262, whole genome shotgun sequence.